CUCAAGAUGAGAUGGUCCUGGAUUGGGAGGGGGGGUGCCCAGAUCCAAUGAUGGGUGUCCUCAUGGGAACUGGGGAUGACGCGGAGAUACAGAGGGAGCCAAGGUGGGGAUGGCGGCAGAGACGGGAGCCGUGGGUCUGCAUGCCCAGGAAUGCCUAGGGUCGCCGGCCAGCCCCGGAAGCUGGACGAGGCAGGGACAGGUGUAAGACCUCCGGGAGCCCGGCCAGCUCCCAGCGGUUCCGGACUUCUGCUCACAGCUGGGAGAGAACCGAUUCCUGGUGUUUCUGAGCCGCUCGGGCCAGUCGUCCCGGCCUCCUAGACAGAGGAUUCUCCAGCAAACCCAGUGGACGGAGGGGCUGUGGCUUCAGAGUCUACCAAACCAGUCACUUAGGGGACAGUGGAGAAAACAGGAUGGUUCUCCUACCAGCGUGGACCCCAGAAUGGAGGCCCCCACAGCCUCAGAUGCAGGACAUCAGUGCUGAGACCCAUCCAGAAUGUCUUUGCUCCACGGAGAGAAGGGAACAGCAACCCACUCCAGCAUUCUGGCCUGGAAGAUCCCAUGGACUGUAUAUCCAUGAGGCCACAAAGAGUUGGACACAACUGAAUGGCUUUUCACUUCACUGGCUGAUGCUACAGCUCUGCUCCUUCUUUGCCAGCCCACACCAGCCUGAGACCUUCUUCCUACAUUCUAGGAAGCCCAGCCAGGAUCCUGACCCAACACAGGACUGACAGGAUUGAUUUUGCCAUCUGGUAAACCUGAAAACAAAUAAAAAAACUCCUGCCCCUUCUACUUUGAGGAGAGUGUUUGACAUCCCUCCUUCUGUCCCCAACAAAUUCCAAGGGAAUCAGAGUCAGCACACAAAAGUCCUCUUUCAUCAAAACUGAAGCAUGAGCAAAAUUCAAGUAACUUCCUCCAGUUUCACAGGGAGUGGUGAGCUGGGAGCCCAGAAUCCUGCAUCCUCACCUGUGAGCGAGGGAGGGGAUACAGCUUCGUCCAUCUCUGGGCUAGGAGGGAGCCUGGGGUCCAUCGGAGCCAUUGCCUCCCCCCGCCUCACCGUUUAUCACAGCUCUGGCCAGCAAGGGAGGAAACCACCAGGUCUCCAACGCUCUGAAAUCACAGCACGCCUGCAGCUGCUUACCCAGCCCUGGAAUGGGCACUGCAGAAAGAAAAAGUCUCUCGACUAAAUUCUCAAAGCCUGCUUCUAGGAGCAUAAAUGUUCAGUAAACAUUAAUAUUCCAAAAAUGCACCUCAACAUAUGUUAAGAAGGAUGC
ensembl:lncRNA